CACGUAGGGGCCAAGCGUUGUCCGGAUUUAUUGGGCGUAAAGAGCUCGUAGGCGGUUCGACAAGUCGGGUGUGAAAACUCCGGGCUCAACCCGGAGACGCCACCCGAUACUGUCGUGACUGGAGUCCGGUAGGGGAGUGGGGAAUUCCUGGUGUAGCGGUGAAAUGCGCAGAUAUCGGGAGGAACACCAGCAGCGAAGGCGGCACUCUGGGCCGGUACUGACGCUGAGGAGCGAAAGCGUGGGGAGCGAACAGG
rnacentral:rRNA from 1 species